rnacentral:rRNA from 1 species
UUAAGCGACUAAGCGUACACGGUGGAUGCCCUGGCAGUCAGAGGCGAUGAAGGACGUGCUAAUCUGCGAUAAGCGUCGGUAAGGUGAUAUGAACCGUUAUAACCGGCGAUUUCCGAAUGGGGAAACCCAGUGUGUUUCGUCACACUAUCAUUAACUGAAUCCAUAGGUUAAUGAGGCGAACCGGGGGAACUGAAACAUCUAAGUACCCCGAGGAAAAGAAAUCAACCGAGAUUCCCCCAGUAGCGGCGAGCGAACGGGGAGCAGCCCAGAGCCUGAAUCAGUAUGUGUGUUAGUGGAAGCGUCUGGAAAGGCGCGCGAUACAGGGUGACAGCCCCGUACACAAAAAUGCACAUGCUGUGAGCUCGAUGAGUAGGGCGGGACACGUGGUAUCCUGUCUGAAUAUGGGGGGACCAUCCUCCAAGGCUAAAUACUCCUGACUGACCGAUAGUGAACCAGUACCGUGAGGGAAAGGCGAAAAGAACCCCGGCGAGGGGAGUGAAAAAGAACCUGAAACCGUGUACGUACAAGCAGUGGGAGCACGCUUAGGCGUGUGACUGCGUACCUUUUGUAUAAUGGGUCAGCGACUUAUAUUCUGUAGCAAGGUUAACCGAAUAGGGGAGCCGAAGGGAAACCGAGUCUUAACUGGGCGUUAAGUUGCAGGGUAUAGACCCGAAACCCGGUGAUCUAGCCAUGGGCAGGUUGAAGGUUGGGUAACACUAACUGGAGGACCGAACCGACUAAUGUUGAAAAAUUAGCGGAUGACUUGUGGCUGGGGGUGAAAGGCCAAUCAAACCGGGAGAUAGCUGGUUCUCCCCGAAAGCUAUUUAGGUAGCGCCUCGUGAAUUCAUCUCCGGGGGUAGAGCACUGUUUCGGCAAGGGGGUCAUCCCGACUUACCAACCCGAUGCAAACUGCGAAUACCGGAGAAUGUUAUCACGGGAGACACACGGCGGGUGCUAACGUCCGUCGUGAAGAGGGAAACAACCCAGACCGCCAGCUAAGGUCCCAAAGUCAUGGUUAAGUGGGAAACGAUGUGGGAAGGCCCAGACAGCCAGGAUGUUGGCUUAGAAGCAGCCAUCAUUUAAAGAAAGCGUAAUAGCUCACUGGUCGAGUCGGCCUGCGCGGAAGAUGUAACGGGGCUAAACCAUGCACCGAAGCUGCGGCAGCGACGCUGAUGCGUUGUUGGGUAGGGGAGCGUUCUGUAAGCCUGCGAAGGUGUGCUGUGAGGCAUGCUGGAGGUAUCAGAAGUGCGAAUGCUGACAUAAGUAACGAUAAAGCGGGUGAAAAGCCCGCUCGCCGGAAGACCAAGGGUUCCUGUCCAACGUUAAUCGGGGCAGGGUGAGUCGACCCCUAAGGCGAGGCCGAAAGGCGUAGUCGAUGGGAAACAGGUUAAUAUUCCUGUACUUGGUGUUACUGCGAAGGGGGGACGGAGAAGGCUAUGUUGGCCGGGCGACGGUUGUCCCGGUUUAAGCGUGUAGGCUGGUUUUCCAGGCAAAUCCGGAAAAUCAAGGCUGAGGCGUGAUGACGAGGCACUACGGUGCUGAAGCAACAAAUGCCCUGCUUCCAGGAAAAGCCUCUAAGCAUCAGGUAACAUCAAAUCGUACCCCAAACCGACACAGGUGGUCAGGUAGAGAAUACCAAGGCGCUUGAGAGAACUCGGGUGAAGGAACUAGGCAAAAUGGUGCCGUAACUUCGGGAGAAGGCACGCUGAUAUGUAGGUGAAGUCCCUCGCGGAUGGAGCUGAAAUCAGUCGAAGAUACCAGCUGGCUGCAACUGUUUAUUAAAAACACAGCACUGUGCAAACACGAAAGUGGACGUAUACGGUGUGACGCCUGCCCGGUGCCGGAAGGUUAAUUGAUGGGGUCAGCGCAAGCGAAGCUCUUGAUCGAAGCCCCGGUAAACGGCGGCCGUAACUAUAACGGUCCUAAGGUAGCGAAAUUCCUUGUCGGGUAAGUUCCGACCUGCACGAAUGGCGUAAUGAUGGCCAGGCUGUCUCCACCCGAGACUCAGUGAAAUUGAACUCGCUGUGAAGAUGCAGUGUACCCGCGGCAAGACGGAAAGACCCCGUGAACCUUUACUAUAGCUUGACACUGAACAUUGAGCCUUGAUGUGUAGGAUAGGUGGGAGGCUUUGAAGUGUGGACGCCAGUCUGCAUGGAGCCGACCUUGAAAUACCACCCUUUAAUGUUUGAUGUUCUAACGUUGACCCGUAAUCCGGGUUGCGGACAGUGUCUGGUGGGUAGUUUGACUGGGGCGGUCUCCUCCUAAAGAGUAACGGAGGAGCACGAAGGUUGGCUAAUCCUGGUCGGACAUCAGGAGGUUAGUGCAAUGGCAUAAGCCAGCUUGACUGCGAGCGUGACGGCGCGAGCAGGUGCGAAAGCAGGUCAUAGUGAUCCGGUGGUUCUGAAUGGAAGGGCCAUCGCUCAACGGAUAAAAGGUACUCCGGGGAUAACAGGCUGAUACCGCCCAAGAGUUCAUAUCGACGGCGGUGUUUGGCACCUCGAUGUCGGCUCAUCACAUCCUGGGGCUGAAGUAGGUCCCAAGGGUAUGGCUGUUCGCCAUUUAAAGUGGUACGCGAGCUGGGUUUAGAACGUCGUGAGACAGUUCGGUCCCUAUCUGCCGUGGGCGCUGGAGAACUGAGGGGGGCUGCUCCUAGUACGAGAGGACCGGAGUGGACGCAUCACUGGUGUUCGGGUUGUCAUGCCAAUGGCACUGCCCGGUAGCUAAAUGCGGAAGAGAUAAGUGCUGAAAGCAUCUAAGCACGAAACUUGCCCCGAGAUGAGUUCUCCCUGACUCCUUGAGAGUCCUGAAGGAACGUUGAAGACGACGACGUUGAUAGGCCGGAUGUGUAAGCGCAGCGAUGCGUUGAGCUAACCGGUACUAAUGAACCGUGAGGCUUAACCUU